AAGUCGUAACAAGGUUUCCGUAGGUGAACCUAUGGAAGGAUCAUUUACACGUAUCCAACGUUAAACCCCCCUGUUUAGCGUGCUCUUGUGUCCUGUAUAGGGACACCGGGCUCACGCCCCCUAAUAACUUAUCUUAAGGCACCACUCCACUGCAAGUGCGCCGGAGCUGGUGAAAACGAACAACUGUUAACAAUGGAUAUCUUGGUUCUC
rnacentral:misc_RNA from 1 species